UCAGAUAGCAUUAGUUGUAGCUCUCAUAUGUUACUUUAGCAGGAAUAAGUAAAUUGAUCUUGAUUUCAAGAGUGGGACAAAGACUUCACAAGACCACAAAGAACUGCUUGGAAUCUGACUGGCUGGAUGUGGGGCAAGUGGGACGUGAUGCUGCUCAGGUUUUCCUUUCGUGGAAGAAGAACCAUGGUACUUGAUUCAUCUGUGAAACAGUUUGUGCUCUAGUGAGGAGCAUCACGUGUGUGACACUCUCCCUUCAGCGAGCAGUGGAGCUGAGCCUGUCGAGUAUUUUGGUGAGAGGAAUCAUAAUCCUUCUCCUAGCAGCACUUCAUGAACUGAAAUCGUUCUCUAGAUGGUGAUGACAUGCCAGUUCUCGGUAUAUGGACAUGAGUCCUGAGAUCCCACACAUGGAUGUACAAAAGGACUGCACAUUGUGCUGAAGACUGGGGAGAAGAUUCCCUUGUGUGAAAGUGGAACCUUUUUUUUCUAAUGGCUGCUUCGAGUGUUUCCUCCAUAGAUCUUUUUCCUUGUCUUGAAACCAUUUCCUUGAUAUGCUGGGCUGUAAAUCCUUGAAGGAAUAGCAUGGUUGGUUGCCUUUGUCCUUUUUCCAUGAGCCAAGACUGAAGAAUUACUGAAAUGUUGCAACUAUCAAUCGGUUUGUCUUCUGCAGUGUGCUCAUGCUGUUCAGCACUUGUGAUGCUGAUGUUGAACAUGGGCUGUGUGGCAGAUGAAGCUGUCCUCUACCAGAAAAAGAUGGGAAUAUAUGGAGAUGUCAGAUGGAAUGCUGGUCUCUCUCUCACCCUUGACUCUGUAAUUUCAUCAUUCAGCAAUGGAGGACCUGUGCAGGCACAGCUGACCAAGAUCAUGGGUAAGCACAAGCUGCAGCUCUGCAGGACACAGGGUUCUCUGGCCCACAGGAGGAACAGC